UAUUUGUGUCCACAUUUUUCUUUCUUUACCUUCUGCUUCAUCUUUCUCAUUCUUCCUCUCUGCCUUUCCCAAUCCUCACAUCUCUCUAAAACAAAAUUUAUGCAGAAAAUUUCAAAUCAAUAAACCCAACAACUAUUAGAUGCUUCAAAGGUUUAAGGUGAUCUAAAGUUCUCAAUUUAGAGUUAUAGCUCUCAAUCUCUCCCAACUCACUCUCUUUCAAGAUCUAAACGGAUCUUGUUGAUUGGGUAUUUCGGAUUUCUUGACAUCGCAGGCCAAAUUCGCCCAUGAAUUCUGGCAGAGGAAACUGGAAGAGAACAUGUUUGCAAGUUCUUAAAUUAGUUGUUGAAUUGGAGGCUUAGUUAGUCAAAGUCGACAGUUGAAAGAGGUCAGUCCACCUGGUUUUUCUCAAAAUAAUUUGUCAUUGAUACAGUUCCAUUGAAGCUAAAUUUAUCAAAAUACAUGUUCCCUCUAUUAAAUUUUUGCAAAAUCUUUUGUUGCUUGCAAUGAAAAACGCUGAAUUGAUGACCAAACGAUCAAAUCCUAUUAAAGAGAGAGGCUUUAAUUUGUAAUUUUCUGAUAAACCUGAUUAGUUUACAUUACAGAUGUUGCACCAGUUCCCCAUAUGUUUACACAUUCAGGUAUUUCUUAUCUGGCUUAAAAUAUCACAUUAGUUGUAUUUUCUGUUUUGAGAGAUUCAAUACUUAUCUUUUGUGUGAACUUUGUGGGUUAUUCUCAAAUGAGUUUCAUUUGACUUGUAUUGCGCUCGAAGUCUAUUUGAACGCUACUUGACUGUCAAGAGAGGUGGGUAAAUUGAUUCAACUGAUGCUGACAUUUGGUAUUAAAUAUAUAUUUGUAAUUUCUAGGCAUUUUGUAUUACAAUUUCGAUUAGCAGUAUGGUAUUGAAGAGGAAAUGAACGAUGUGAAGAGGUGUGUUGGAUUGAUGUACGGUGAAAAAUGGUAAGCUACUGACCAGGAUGAUUUUACAGGCAUAAUAUCAAAAAUGGAAGAAGUCAAAGUUGAUGGUGUGUCAAAUGUAAAGGACCAGUUUCUAAACAUCAUGCAACAAAACUAGCAUAAGAUAAGUUGUCUAGAUAAGAAUUGUAUAUUGUAGGAUGCUCGCCUAAUGUGUCAAAUAAAUGGUACAGAAGAAACUUUAAACUUGAGGUAAUGUUCUAUAUUUAAUGGCUACUUAUGUUCAA